UAGGGAGUAGUAUAGUGGAAGUACGUGGGGUUUUGGGCCCCUCAGUGCAGGCUCGGAUCCUGUCUCUCUA
rnacentral:tRNA from 1 species